rnacentral:rRNA from 1 species
AUUGAACGCUGGCGGCAUGCCUUACACAUGCAAGUCGAACGGUAACAGGUCUUCGGAUGCUGACGAGUGGCGAACGGGUGAGUAAUGCAUCGGAACGUGCCCAGUUGUGGGGGAUAACUGCUCGAAAGAGCAGCUAAUACCGCAUACGACCUGAGGGCGAAAGCGGGGGAUCGCAAGACCUCGCGCAAUUGGAGCGGCCGAUGUCAGAUUAGGUAGUUGGUGGGGUAAAGGCCUACCAAGCCGACGAUCUGUAGUUGGUCUGAGAGGACGACCGGCCACACUGGGACUGAGACACGGCCCAGACUCCUACGGGAGGCAGCAGUGGGGAAUAUUGGACAAUGGGGGGAACCCUGAUCCAGCCAUGCCGCGCGUGUGAAGAAGGCCUUAUGGUUGUAAAGCACUUUAAGCGAGGAGGAGGCUCUUUUGGUUAAUACCCAAGAUGAGUGGACGUUACUCGCAGAAUAAGCACCGGCUAACUCUGUGCCAGCAGCCGCAGUAA